ensembl:lncRNA
ACUAAACUGACCAAUCAGGAUAGAUAUUUAAAUGACGCAACGUCGUUUGCUUCUGUUCAAAAUGCGGCCUAAAGAGGCACAAGGUGGGUGAAUGAAUAUUUUCUCGUUCCGCGUAUAUAACCGAUCAUCACAACAUCAGGUGAUGUUUUAAUAUACUGUAAGUGCGUCAUCAGGCCUUCAUGUGUUUAAGUCAAGACAACAGGUGAAGAGAAAUUCUGCCAAAAAUAACGACAUACAAAUGAUUGGCCAUAAUGAAGCAGUGGAGGAUGGAGUUCUUUACGCACAGGUUUGGACCUAGAGGAGCAACUUUUCAUCAAUUAUGAAUCUCGGCUUGAGCUCAGAGCAAUAAAUAAUUAGAGCCAUCUGCUUGGAGUUAGUGUCAUUCUGCAGCGGUAAAUGCUGAUCGCUGGAUCCAGAUGCCUUUGAAAGCGCAUUUCCUUUCAACUGUCACAGCGAGCGGCUCAAAAGGGCUCCAGUGCCGCUGGUACAAAUUCAAAGCGAUGGUUGGAUUCAUCAGCGAUUCCAGAUGUGCCAAAUGUCCUCUUCUGAUCACCAGUAAAUCCACUCCUUCCUCUGCUGAUCAUAAGCCCUCUCAGCAGCUGGUGUCAGAGUGAAAUUGGACGAAUUUCGAGAUUUUCAGUCUUGUUAUUCAUCCCCUUAUCAAUAUGUCAUCUGGAGAUUGGACACAUCAGAAUGACUUGAGGGGGAGAAAUCAUCUACUGCCAUGUUCGCUUCCCAUCAAACUGUGAGACUGGCACAAAUAGAGGUCUGUACAGACUGUUCAGGGCACAAGGAGUCAUUGUUGAGUUCUGCAGAGGUUUUAAUGAAGACUAGUCCCUUUGUGAUUAUUUAUGCCAAUGCAGUUGAGAUCCGCACAAAGAUUCUGAUGCGAUGGAGGAUAAGUAACGAUUUUGUAUAUAAUUGUGAGCACUGAAUGCAUUUAGAUGGAAUUAGUUUUAAUACUGUACAGUAAAAAUCAAUAGCAGCUCUGUUGCUAAAUGGGAAAACUGUGAGCUUGUGGUUUGUGGGAAAAUAUGAGAAAAGUGAACAGAUGCGCUUGAUAAUAUCUAGUUUACUUUCUGUUAAGUACCUUAAAAAUCAUAAUCAUCCUAAUUAUUAAAUCUUAAAUGCCAUAAAUCUCACAAAACUUCACAAACUUUUCCAACUCAAGUGAAUAGUUCUUUAAAAGUAGAGCUGGGUAUUGAUACACAUUUUCUGAUUCGUAGCAUGAUUUUUGAUGAUUUAUGCUUGCUCUCAAUUAAAGUUUGAUUCAGUUUAAUUGGAUUCCAAUUAAUUUUGUGUAUGUUUCAUUUACAGUGUCUAUUUUGCUUACAUAUGGUAAGGUGAUCCCUCUCUGCUAUGACUAUAAAUGAUAUAAAGAACCUUCUAAUUUGGUACAUUAUGAAAUUAACAACAGGGCCCAAACUCUGCAGUUCAUAUUCUGUUUGUUUAAAUAAACACCUAGAAAGUAACGUUCACCUCAGUUAUGAGCUCCCAUGCAACAGUAUAGAAA